UCACAAUUGCUUGAGGAUGCUGCCAGAGCCUGAGAAGGGACGAACUCCAAUUGCUCCAGUUCAAACCAGUCCUGGCAGGGGCAGCAGGAAGAGACAGAACAGUAAUUCCCACAGGACGUGGUACUUGCUGAUCAUCCUCCCAGGACUCAGUAGGGUUUCUUCUCCGAGAUGAUACCUGGAAUUGGGACGCUCACCCAGGACACACUAUGGUGCUUCAGCCAAGUGAAAGGUACUAUCGAGAUUGGAACUACAGAAGGUAGGAUAAAGUUUCUAGGCCCUUUAUCCUCAUCUCCUUUGUGCGGGUUCAUAUUUGGAAACUUUCA
rnacentral:lncRNA from 1 species